rnacentral:rRNA from 1 species
GACGAACGCUGGCGGCGUGCUUAGCACAUGCAAGUCGAACGGAAAGGCCCUGCUUUUGUGGGGUGCUCGAGUGGCGAACGGGUGAGUAACACGUGAGUAACCUGCCCUUGACUUUGGGAUAACUUCAGGAAACUGGGGCUAAUACCGGAUAGGAGCUCCUGCUGCAUGGUGGGGGUUGGAAAGUUUCGGCGGUUGGGGAUGGACUCGCGGCUUAUCAGCUUGUUGGUGGGGUAGUGGCUUACCAAGGCUUUGACGGGUAGCCGGCCUGAGAGGGUGACCGGCCACAUUGGGACUGAGAUACGGACCAGACUCCUACGGGAGGCAGCAGUGGGGAAUAUUGCACAAUGGGCGGAAGCCUGAUGAAGAAACGCCGCGUGCGGGAUGACGGCCUUCGGGUUGUAAACCGCUUUCGCCUGUGACGAAGCGUGAGUGACGGUAAUGGGUAAAGAAGCACCGGCUAACUACGUG